CAGCCCUAAACGAUGCGCGUUAGGUGUAUCGGUGACCACGAGUCACCGAGGUGCCGAAGGGAAACCGUGAAACGUGCCGCCUGGGAAGUACGGUCGCAAGGCUGAAACUUAAAGGAUUGGCGGGGGAGCACCACAACGGGUGGAGCCUGCGGUUUAAUUGGACUCAACGCCGGAAAACUCACCGGGGGCGACAGCAAUAUGUAGGUCAAGCUAAAGACUUUACCAGAAUCGCUGAGAGGAGGUGCAUGGCGUAGUCGUGU
rnacentral:rRNA from 1 species